UACAGAGGGGGCAAGCGUUGUUCGGAAUUACUGGGCGUAAAGGGCGCGUAGGCGGCCUGCUAAGUCGAACGUGAAAUCCCCGGGCUCAACCUGGGAACUGCAUCCGAGACUGCAUUGCUAGAGUAUGGGAGAGGGAAGCGGAAUUUCUGGUGUAGCAGUGAAAUGCGUAGAUAUCAGAAGGAACAUCAGUGGCGAAGGCGGCUUCCUGGACCAAUACUGACGAUCAGGUGCGAAAGCGUGGGGAGCAAACAGG
rnacentral:rRNA from 1 species